UACGGAGGGUGCAAGCGUUAUCCGGAUUCACUGGGUUUAAAGGGUGCGUAGGCGGGCAGGUAAGUCAGUGGUGAAAUCUUCGAGCUUAACUCGGAAACUGCCGUUGAUACUAUCUGUCUUGAAUACUCGGGAGGUGAGCGGAAUAUGUCAUGUAGCGGUGAAAUGCUUAGAUAUGACAUAGAACACCAAUUGCGAAGGCAGCUCACUACACAAUCAUUGACGCUGAGGCACGAAAGCGUGGGGAUCAAACAGG
rnacentral:rRNA from 1 species